CUGGACCGUCCAAAAGCAUACACCACAGGGAAAGAAUCAUGCAAACAGAUCAGUUAUGAACACACCCUAGCUAAGGCAUGAUGCAUUCCUCUAGCAGAAUGGUGGUGUCUAUCAGUCAGGGGAUUUGUAAUCAGAUCUGCAAUCAGACAGCUGUCUUCCGAACUCCACAGCUGUCUUCUGAACUCCAGAGCUGUCUUCCGAACUCCACAGCCUUGAGAAUUGUUAUUGCUGAUCCUCAAGUAAUACAUUGUGCUUUGAAGCAUGGCCAGUUUAGAAACUGCAAGCCUUGGGAACUGAAUGGUUCCAUUUAGGUCCAAAGUACUUUUAAUUAUUGGCCUGCCUUACAUUCUAAAAGGAAGGAAAAUUUGGAAUAAAUAUUCUUGUGCAGCCUGAGAGGCAA